rnacentral:rRNA from 1 species
CCUACGGUGUGCAGCAGUGGGGAAUAUUGGACAAUGGGCGAAAGCCUGAUCCAGCCAUGCCGCGUGUGUGAAGAAGGCCUUCGGGUUGUAAAGCACUUUCAGUGGGGAAGAAAGCCUUGGGGCUAAUACCCUCGAGGAAGGACAUCACCCACAGAAGAAGCACCGGCUAACUCCGUGCCAGCAGCCGCGGUAAUACGGAGGGUGUGAGCGUUAAUCGGAAUUACUGGGCGUAAAGCGCGCGUAGGCGGUCUGAUAAGCCGGUUGUGAAAGCCCCGGGCUCAACCUGGGAACGGCAUCCGGAACUGUCAGGCUAGAGUGCAGGAGAGGAAGGUAGAAUUCCCGGUGUAGCGGUGAAAUGCGUAGAGAUCGGGAGGAAUACCAGUGGCGAAGGCGGCCUUCUGGACUGACACUGACGCUGAGGUGCGAAAGCGUGGGUAGCAAACAGGAUUAGAUACCCUAGUAGUC